CUUCGCUGUCCAAGGCAGACGCAGAAACGCCGCUUACAAGCCGUUUCCCAGAAGCCCCCGGAGCGGACUCCUUCCGGUCUGCAGGCCCGAGGAGGCGGAGAGAGGCAAAGCCCCGCGUUGCCAUGGAGAUGCACUCCAGGAUUGUGGACUUUAUUCUUCAAAAAUUAGGAGACCCAGAGGAAUUUGGCCAAGUGGGAAACAUAGUCUCAUCUCAAAACUCCAGUUUAAGGUCGCAGUGAAUUUGCAGAAUGCGUGAGCAUCUGACUUCAGCCUGGAUAUUUUGUGCCAAAAAACAGUUGUAGACAUAAUCAUUUAAAAAUGUAAGUCAGAACACUUCAUUCCCCUUUAAAGUCCUCCAAUGGAUCUCAGCUACCUUAAGUAUAACAUAAAAACUCCUAACAUUGACCUGCAAGAUCUUCUGUAGUUUGUUACCUCUCUGACCAAAGCUUUUCGGCUCAAUGUGGCCUAGGAGCUUCAGCCUCACUUUCCUUCUGGAAGCCUCCACAUCCUUCAUAGCACUAUUUAGAGGAAAGUACCCUCUGAAAAGUGCCCUUAGCCUGUCUCAGAUUUACGAAUAAAAGGGUAAGUGAGUGAGCAGCCAAUGGCAUAGCACUACUAUUCACUCUGACCACAGCUCAUCUUCCCAUAACCCCUGCUAACUGUCUUGUAGGAGGCUGCAGAAAUCCAGCUUUUUAACUCUCCUUCUUGGCUACUGUCUCCAUCCAGCUUGGCUGCACUUUCCAACCUUUCCUUCUUUUGUGACUAUGCAAGAUAUUUUUAUUCUGUUUUGUUUUACUUUGUUUUUACAUAUGAUUAACAUUGGAAAGCAAAAGUAUAAAUAUCAAAUAAAAAUGUUUGCAGAAGCUAAAAGUAUUGCAAAAUUUUACAAAAGCCUUUCCUAAUUCUUUCUAAAAUAGUAAAUUGAAACCAGAAUGACGCUUUCUUCACUAAGUUACUCUUUUGAAGAUGGGGACCAACAACACCCACUUUGAAAUACCAUCCUUCUGAGCUCCAUUGUGUCAACUGUUUCCUGAAUGGUGGCCCUUGUUAACAUCUUAUAGCUCUAGUCAAGAUAGAGCAUUGUGUUCCUCUUGGCAGCCUGAGCAUAGGGAACAGCUCUCGAUACCAGUGCUGACAAAUCCACACAGGCCACCAAGGCAAGGCUUGAACCACAGCUAAUCUGAGUCUUGGCAAAGCACCCUGUGGUCAUGAGAGCCUGAGAGGCUUGUGAGAAGCUACUACAAGGCCAUUUCCCUCUCAGCUCCCUGUCUUUCAAGGAGACUGUUAGGAGGCCAUUUCUUAUGCUUCCUGGGUUCUAGUGAGUCUUCUGUCUCACCCUCUAACAGUACAGUGGUAGGCUAUUAAAUGUUUAACUGCAACAGCAUUUGCCCUUCAGCAACAAAGUUUCCGUAACUCAUUUUGCCCACUUUAUUUUGCUGUCAUCAUUUGAGUUCAUGAGACAGAAGCUCAGGGAGGACUGGCACCUUUGACUACUUUUGCUUCCAUUGUCUAUAUAAUAAUCUAAGUCUAAAAAUGCUCAUUUCUUUACCACUAAAUCUUUUAACCUUGCCAGGUCUUGAUACCAAACAUCUCAUUCAUUCAUUAAUGAUAAAUCAAACAAACAAAAAAGUUAGAUACUACCUGGUUGCCAGAGAGUUAGAAAUAAAGAAAAUGAGUUAUGAUUCUUUCUUUGAACAUGACCAUCUUGUUCAGGAGAUAGACAAGAAAACAAAUAUCUACAAGGCAGUGUAGAAGUGUGACAAUAGAGAAGAACAGAAUACCAGGGGUGCUUUCAUAUAAGUUAUUAUGCCCAGAAAAGGCAGACACCCUGAGAUAGUGGAGGGGAAACAAGAAAAGUUUUCCCAUUGUUAGGAAAGCACAGAUCUUCUGGUUUGGUGUUAUCAGAUUCUACCCAAAACAAUCUUUCCUUGGCUUUUCUCUAAAAAUUAAUUUGGAACUCUCAAUCUUUCAGCUGGGCAUUUUAAGUACUCUUGUGGUGGAGAAACCAAACCUGAUUAAAAUGGAAUUAUAUGAACAUUAUAAUAAAGAAUCAGUGCCUGGGGAAAGGGUUAAUUUCUCCCCCAACCCUAAACCAGCUUCUCUGCAGGGAACCUAAUUAACCUUGGGUCCCUAUCUAUUGGGUUGUAAAUAGCUAUAGGUAGGAAGCCUGAGGACUCUCUCUUGAUAUGUAAACAUCCCUGUGACAAGCUUCAAGACCAGAGACAAUGGAUACCUGUGAAGUUUCUUCUUAAGCUUUGUAAACCUUUUAGGAGUAUAGCUACAUCAAUUAAUUACUAUUAUAAAUUAAUUUAUAAUAGUAUAAAUUUAUAAAUUUUAAGUCACCAUGACAGUUAACUGCUGUCUAAACUGUAACUUUAGUUUUUAGAAUUAUAGCUCUUGGGCUGGGAUUGUGGCUCAGUGGUGGAGCACUCCCCUAGCAUGGGCGGGACCCGGGUUUGAUCCUCAGCACCACAUAAAAAAAAUAAAGACAUUGUGUUGUGUCCAUCUACACCUAAAAAAUAAAUAUUUUUAAAAAGAGAAUACCCUGGAAAAAUAGGGUCCUCUUUUAAAAUAUCUAUAUUCUAUAUCUAUAUCUAUCUUAGGGAGAUAAACUCAAGUCAUCUUUAGUUAUUGUGACCUGUGGAAAAGGACACUUCAUGAUAACACAAAUGUUUUACUGUCUCUGUCCUGCACCUGUGAACUACUUAUCAUAAAAUUUCUGCAUAAGAUCCUUCAUCAUGAAAGUCAAGAAUUAUAACCUACCAUUGUUGUAAUGGUUAAGGAAUGAUGCCGAAUUUCCUAUAAAGAGCCCAUGUGACCUAGCUCAAGGCCCAGAACUUCAUAGCACUAGCUCAUCUGGGUCCAAUGGGACAUAAAUAAGCCUGGGUUCUCCAACCCUCCUAGUUGUGCUUGGUCUUUUGCUGAGUGCAGUUUCCAUAACAGUCUUCCAUUUGAGCCAAUAAGUGCAGUGAUGCCAGGAAUCUUUGGAUUACAAGUGAUUUGAAAACCCAACACUGGCAGACAUUAGCUUCCCACAUACAGCCCACCUCCUUACUUCUAGGACAUCCUGAUAUUUUGGAUUUAUGCAGGCAGGCAAUAAUAUGCCCAGCCAUAGGCAACAAUUGUGAUUAAGCUAAGAUAUUCGUAACCAUCCUUUUUCCUUUUGCUUUUCCACUUUGCCUUUCUGGCAGCUAAGAACAGCCAUAUUAUUUAGUUCUAGUCAAUGAAAUGUAUGAGGAAGUAGUUCUCUUCUUCCUAAAAAGUUAUCCAAUUCAUUUAAACUGUCAAAGUUGUUGGUAUAAAGUUGUUCACAUUUCCUUAACAUCCUUUUAAUGUCUGUAAGACCAAUAGUGUGCCCCCUCAUUUGUUCCUGAAAUUGGCAAUUUCUGUAGUUUCUGGUUUCCCUUUCUUGAUCAGCUUUGCUUAAGAUUUGUGAACUUUAUUGGUCUUUAUAGAAUUAACUUUUAGCUUUGUUUGUUUUUUUUGUGGAAUUUUGCUCUUUUAAAAAGAUAACAUACAGUAAAUUUGGGGUGUGUGUGUGUGUAUGUGUAUGUGUGAGUGUGUGUUUGGCAUCUAGUUCUAUGAGUUUUAAGACAUUCAUAGAAUUAUGAAAUUAUAAAUGAUACAAAAUAGUUCCAUCUCUAUAAAACUCUAGAAAGGAUAUCUGUUUAGGGUAUUCACACCUUUCCUAUGUCCCUAACCCAUGCCAGCCAAUGAUUUGCUAUCUAUCACAAUAGUUUUGACUUGUCCAGAUGUAAUAGAAAUGGAAUCAUAAAGUAUGAAAUCUCUUAAGACUGGUUUCUUUUAUUCAGCACAGUGCUUUUAAGAAUUAUCUUUAUUGUAUGAAUCAAUAUUUUAUUGCUGAUUACUAUCUACUUAUAUGCACUUAUCCAUUAUCUUAUAUUGCUUAUCCAUUCAACCCCAGAAGGACUUUUAGGUCAUUUCUGGAUUUUUGCAAUUAUGAAAUAAAGUCACUAUAAACACUG